CUUUACACGUGUCUGCAACUGCUCCUUAUCCUAAACCCUCACCCACGUCCUCCUUCACACCAGGAGAUAACCCUCAGUGUCGUUGUCGAUUAUGGGGGUUAUUGAUGACGCGUUGGUUUGUUUUCUUGGUGGCCGUCAUCCUGGGGCAUCGUCUCUUUUGUCUUCAAGUUCCGGUGGCUUCAAGCGGCCAACUUUCACGGGUGAUCGCCAGCUUAGUUACAUCGCUACGUUUUUUUCUUCCAUCAGCCUUGGGAAGAUGAGGAUGCUGGAUGUACCAGAGAUGAAUAACAUCAACUUUUAAACCUAAAAACGAAGCCGUGGACACAGGUUAUAGAGGUGUCUCAUCUAAUGGCCGUUCUCUGUAAAAAGCUGUUGACAAAGCCGCGGACAAAGGUUAUAGCGGCAUUUCAUCUAAAGGCCGGUCUCUGUAAUAGCUGAAGACAAAGCCACGGACAAAGGCUAUAGAGGCCUUUCACCUAAAGGCCGAUCUCUAUAACUAAUUGAAUACUCUUGCAUGUUAUUGAGCUUUAGAUUAUACUUUGUUGUUUAGUUGUUGUUGUGGAAGCUGAUUCUAGAGUUUUUUUUUUUUUUUUUUUGGAGUUAAUUUAUGUUGUUUUUAUGCUAUUUUAAAGUGAGUGUUUACCAGCCUACACGAAAAAGCUCCAACAUGUGGUAGCCUUCUCCUUUAUAAUUAUUACAUAUUCACUCGCUUAACAUCGUCAUUUUCUGCCUAUAGUUUGUCUUAAAUAGUUAGAAAGCUAGAAACUUUUUAUCUAUUUUUUUAUUUCCUAAUCUAAUAUCCUUAAUUUUGUUUAAAGUCAUCAUGGGUUUAGUUGUCGGGAUCUUGACAAAUGGUGUUAUCUUGAGCCAAAUCAUCAUCAUAUACCAGAAGCCAACAAAGAAAGAAGGAAAACAAUAGAAGAUCAGCAAUGUGACUAUCUUUAAAUGCAAAGUUCCUCUAGAAAACCCGAUUAGCCGUCAGAGUUUGCAUACAGAACCUUUCUUUGGUUUGACAGCGUUUAUGAUUGUUAUUAUUUCUUUUUCAAAUGCAUAUGAACAGAGACAAUUAUUCGAAAGUGAUAAUAAACACUGGAAAGCCAGACUUAUACGCUGCCCAAACUUACUGUGAUUUUUUACUAGAAACUCUACAGAAAAGUGGAUUGAGCUUGAACCCACACAAUUCUGGCAUUCACUGCUAUUCAUGGAUCAGAUUCAAACAAGCGAUGAUUCCCGAGUGGAUAUAGUGUCAUGAUGGAAUAUUACAGAAAGGAUGAAAUUGUUGCACAAUUUAUUCAAAUUUGGAUGAAAUCGGUGGUACGAAUUUGUUCGAAUUUAAGAUUGAAACACGGCUAUAUUCUAUCCUAUAUCUAAAAUGUUUCAAUCUCAUCAAUCUUUUUUGUUUGUAUUACUUAAAAUCGACACUACAGGACCACAGAAAUGGUUGCAGGAUCAUUUCCUGCUGAACUUUUUGAAAUGGGUUUCUAGAUGCUGAUUAAUUGUUUUGCUUCUUGAAGUUUAGUAUGCUAGGCUACUAUUAGUGUGAUAUACCAAUUAUAACUUGUAAAUGCUAAGAUUUGUUAAAUUAUGAAUGAAAAAUUGUGAAAUUCUAAACGCUUGAAGACUUUGGCGCUUGAAAACGAGAACUCAGAAUCUAAACUAGAAGAUGAAAAUGGUGCGAAAUCGACUGAACCACCCAAUGGCAAGUUGAUGAAAUUUUUGGUCUAAGGAAAAAGUGGAUAUGAUGAAUUGUUGAAUAGUUUGAUUAAAGUUAAUGUUGAAGGGACAACUAAGGUGACACAAGCUGUGUUACCAGGGAUGCUGAAGAGGAAAAAAAUGGGUUAUUGUGAAUAUUGGUUCUGGUGCUACUAUUGUUAUCCUUUGUGAUCCUUUUUAUGUUGUUUGUGUUGCAACAAAAGCUUAAGUUUCUAAUUUUUUAAUCGGAUUUGAUUGCCUACAUGUUUGUUUAUGAAUGUUUAUAUGAGUUGUGUUUC